UUCUAUUGUGGUGACUACAAAAUGUUAGUUUUUUUAAAAAACAAAUCUAGAUUAGUUGAGUGAGUGAGCAGAAUAAGGUCAACAUGGAGCCAAUAGCAUCAUUAAAUGUCAAAUAAAAGUCACUAGCGUCAAAAUGAAAAGAAUGUACGACACUGCAUUGUUUUUGGUUCAUCUAAUUUCAGCAUGAGAUCAUUCUUAUACGCUAGACUAGUAAACACACGUGUGUCAAACAUAACAUUACAUUUUGCGUUUUAUUAUUAUACUUAUGAAACUAUUUUGGACUUUGUAUAUAGUGAGGAUGAACAGGUCCAGUGUUUACUUCUGUAGUGAGGAUGAACAGGUCCAGUGGUUACUUCUGUAGUGAGGAUGAACAGGUCCAGUGUUACUUCUGUAGUGAGGAUGAACAGGUCCAGUGGUUACUUCUGUAGUGAGGAUGAACAGUUCCAGUGGUUACUUCUGUAGACGUACACAUCGGCUAUGCUUGUUGAUUUGUUCCCCGGCUUUAUAUUGUUUAUUAUGACUGGAACACCAUUUUAUCCUUAAUAAAUGAAUAUAUUGCAA
rnacentral:sRNA from 1 species